UAGCCUUUCGAAAGAAAGAUUAAUACCGGAUAGCAUACGAAUAUCGCAUGAUAUUUUUAUUAAGGAAUUUCGGUUAUCGAUGGGGAUGCGUUCCAUUAGUUUGUUGGCGGGGUAACGGCCCACCAAGACAACGAUGGAUAGGGGUUCUGAGAGGAAGGUCCCCCACAUUGGAACUGAGACACGGUCCAAACUCCUACGGGAGGCAGCAGUGAGGAAUAUUGGUCAAUGGGCGAGAGCCUGAACCAGCCAAGUAGCGUGAAGGAUGAAGGCUCUAUGGGUCGUAAACUUCUUUUAUAUGGGAAUAAAGUAUUCCACGUGUGGAAUUUUGUAUGUACCAUAUGAAUAAGGAUCGGCUAACUCCGUGCCAGCAGCCGCGGUAAUACGGAGGAUCCGAGCGUUAUCCGGAUUUAUUGGGUUUAAAGGGAGCGUAGGUGGAUUGUUAAGUCAGUUGUGAAAGUUUGCGGCUCAACCGUAAAAUUGCAGUUGAAACUGGCAGUCUUGAGUACAGUAGAGGUGGGCGGAAUUCGUGGUGUAGCGGUGAAAUGCUUAGAUAUCACGAAGAACUCCGAUUGCGAAGGCAGCUCACUAGACUGUCACUGACA
rnacentral:rRNA from 1 species